GCCAGCCGCCGUGGUGCAUGCCUGUAAUCCCAGCUACUCCGAAGGCUGAAGUUGGAGAUAACAUGAGCCCAGGAGUUCCAGGCUGUAGUGCACUAUGCCGGUCAGGUGUCUGCACUAAGUUUGGCAUCAAUAUGGUGACCUCCUGGGAUUGGGGAUCCACCAGGUUGCCUAAGGAGGGAUGAACUGGCUCAGGUCUGAAACAGAGCAGGUCAAAAUUCCCAUGCUGAUCAAUAGUAGGAUUGUGCCUGUGAAUAGUCACUGCACUCCAGCCUGGGCAACAUUAGCAAGACCUUGUCUCUA
ensembl:misc_RNA Metazoa_SRP Metazoan signal recognition particle RNA